AAAAAAUUUCUUUUAAUUACUUGCCAACAUUUUAGAAUUUGGAAAUCUCACAUGAAAUUCUGGACUUUUGAAGCUGAGGAAUUCCAUUGCAACAAUCAAGGAGACUAAAUAGGAAAUGACACUUCUGUUUGGCCAUCUUGCCCUCAUUGGUUUAGAAUGGCAGUGGUUCUCAACCCUGGCUGCACAUUAGAAUCACUUUAGGAGAGGUAAAACCAUACUCACGCUGGAGACCUACUCCUAGAAAUUCUAAAGAGUUUGGGGCUGGGAACUGGCCAUUGAUCUGCCUUUGAAGUUUCCCAAGUGAUUCCCAACCUCUGAUGUAAUAAAUUUCUGGCUGCUGUCGUAUUUGAGAUUUGACCCCCCCAGGUCUAAGACUUAAUUGAUUUUUAAGGCUGUAAGACAUUUCUAAGACUUUGACUUUUAAGACUUUCCUGCCUCAUUCUGAAGGCCUUGAACUUGGACUUCACGCCUCCAGAACAGUAUUAACACAGUGCUAUGUAAUGGAGGAAACCCAAGAAAUAUUUUUUGCCUUGAAGAAAAGAACACAAACUCAGAAGUCACAUGGAUCUAAGAUAAGACUUGCAAAGAUUUAAAUUCAAUUCUGCCAUUUACUUCAUAUGAGGACCUUGAGAACCAGUUGAUAGCAUAUCAGAAAAGCUAAUUAAUUUGCCAUGGUUACCAGGAAAACAGGGCCUAGUCUCC
rnacentral:lncRNA from 1 species